rnacentral:rRNA from 1 species
AAGUCGAACGGGAUCCAUUUUUAGCUUGCUAAGGAUGGUGAGAGUGGCGCACGGGUGCGUAACGCGUGAGCAACCUGCCCAUAUCAGGGGGAUAGCCCGAAGAAAUUCGGAUUAACACCGCAUAAGAUUACAGUUCCGCAUGGGACAUUAAUUAAAUAUUUAUAGGAUAUGGAUGGGCUCGCGUGACAUUAGCUAGUUGGUAGGGUAACGGCUUACCAAGGCUACGAUGUCUAGGGGCUCUGAGAGGAGAAUCCCCCACACUGGUACUGAGACACGGACCAGACUCCUACGGGAGGCAGCAGUAAGGAAUAUUGGUCAAUGGAGGGAACUCUGAACCAGCCAUGCCGCGUGCAGGAUGACUGCCCUAUGGGUUGUAAACUGCUUUUGUCGGGGAAUAAACCUCUCUACGAGUAGAGAGCUGAAUGUACCCGAAGAAUAAGGAUCGGCUAACUCCGUGCCAGCAGCCGCGGUAAUACGGAGGAUCCGAGCGUUAUCCGGAUUUAUUGGGUUUAAAGGGUGCGUAGGCGGCCUUAUAAGUCAGGGGUGAAAUACGGCAGCUCAACUGUCGCAGUGCCUUUGAUACUGUAGGGCUUGAAUCUA